AUACGUAGGGUGCGAGCGUUGUCCGGAAUUACUGGGCGUAAAGAGCUCGUAGGUGGUUUGUCGCGUCGUCUGUGAAAUUCCGGGGCUUAACUCCGGGCGUGCAGGCGAUACGGGCAUAACUUGAGUACUGUAGGGGAGACUGGAAUUCCUGGUGUAGCGGUGAAAUGCGCAGAUAUCAGGAGGAACACCGGUGGCGAAGGCGGUUCGCUGGGCAUUAACUGACGCUGAGGAGCGAAAGCAUGGGUAGCGAACAGGAUUAGAUACCCUGGUAUUCCAUGCCGUAAACGGUGGGCGCUAGGUGUAGGGGUCUUCCACGACUUCUGUGCCGUAGCUAACGCAGUAAGCGCCCCGCCUGGGGAGUACGGCCGCAAGGCUAAAACUCAAAGGAAUUGACGGGG
rnacentral:rRNA from 1 species